GAGAACUUUGUCGGGCUACCAAUGCACAAGUAUUGGAAAUAGCGGGGCCAUUGAUACUACUACAAGUAUGGGCUUAUGGUAGAUUUCCAAUUAUAGCACCAGUCCAGUUACAGGCCCCAGGUCAUCGUCCACUUAGUGUCAGAUUAAUUGGACGUCAUACACACAAGAUAUUUGGUCAUCACUACCUGAUUACCGUCGUGAUGGUGAAGACAUCUGGUUGACCGUUAGCCCUCAUAUAUGCUUCCAUAUAGUAGAAUGACAUCAUCUAGAUCGUGUGUUGAGACAGUUCGGUCUGCUACAAACGAUACCUUCGUUGUGUUUUACACUCCCAACACUAUACCAGAUUGAUUUGAGAGGGAGAAAUAACAAAUGGACCAGUUAUAUCAGAUGACUACUUUCCCUGGUACGAUUUAAUCACAAGGCGAUUUAUCACAUCUGACGACGCUUACUAUUACUGCAUGAAUAAUUUUAUCGGAGAUGUACAACAAUAUCCAGUACAACAAAAUUUACCAGAGUUGGGUUCAAUGUGUCACCAAACAUUGGUCAACAUAGAAAGUAUUGUCGGUCGUUCCGAGCCGGAAAGCGUACCGGCUGUUUGAGUCGCGAAAGGGCCGCUCAUGCUUGCUAUAACAAUUCCUUACUUUAGGCUACUAGACUUGUCUUCAACAAACAAGACGACUCAAUGUUGCUGACACUGAUCGAAGACAUAUUCGUCGCAGACAACAACGACAACGGGCUGAAGCUAAUUUAGAGGCACACGAAGACAACCCCCAUGUGGGGUAAGGGCCAGGGGGUCGUCU